UAUACAUUAUAGUCUGAUUUUGAAAGUCAGUAAAGGUUUAAAACCAUGUAU
rnacentral:tRNA from 1 species